GUAGUGAAAGCCGCGCCGGGGUGCCCGUAGGAAAGGUCCGGUGCGGUGAAGGUGGGUGACAUCCGCCCUUGCCGGGGCGGGAGUGCCAUCAGGCGGUCGGCGUCCGGGAGUUAGUGGCUCCACGGGCGCCGUCG
rnacentral:ncRNA from 1 species